GUUCAUUGUCAUACGGUCCCGACAAGCAGCAACGUACAGUAGUCUUCCAGGCAUAAAUAAUUACUUUUGAUUAGGCUCAGUAAUUAUAAUAGAUAAUUACUUCGGCCAACUGGCAUUAUUGGAUAUAUUGCAGCCAGCUUCGGCGUUCGGCCUCCGGCCUCAGGUGGCUGCAAUAUAUCCAAUAAUGCCGUUGGCCUCAAUAAUUAUCUAAUAAAUAGUUAAAUACAGGAACAAUUUAGAGAAUUUACUGACGCAAUUAUUUAACUCUAUUUAUUUAUUAUUUGGGAUAUUUUGUGGACGAGUGAAUGAUAUACAUAGCUAGCUUUGUUGAUUGCACAUAGCAGAAUGACAGUCACUUCAGAUAUUUAUAAAAUAUAUCAAAGUACCGAAAAUAUAAUUAGGUGCAUAUAACUGAUCCAUCAUUAGUAAUAGUUGUACUACAGUCGAAGAAUGUGAUAAGUGGACAAUUGGCAAAAUUGCUGUCUGCCAGUUUAAUACAGUAAGAACCAUACAUAAAAUGCUUAGCAGUAUCAAAUAAGUGAAACUUGGCCGCGGUAUUCCCAUGCUAUGCAUACGAUGUAUUGUACAUUAUAUCAACAUAUACUCGAGAAUAGUUAUCCAGCUAAACAUGUAUGUCAAAAUUAUCACAUCUUCUGGUUUUAAAUCAACAAUUCUGACGGAUUUUGUGCAAGGACAGCUUCGGGUUCCGUUUCGCUUUGGCCGAUGCUUGCUGGAAAUACACUUAUUUACCGGAAGUUGUCGUCUCCUCCGCAGGCCCUUCGAUCUUCGACUACGCGCGCGGCUCGACACAAAUGGGAAAAAAAAAACAAGAAAAAAAAAAUAGGAGCCGAAUUUAAGACCUCCGUGUCGUACCGACCCGAGGUAAUGAGUACUUUCAAUAGACUGAAAAAAAAAUUUUGUGUCAGGGGCACUUUUAAGGAGAGUCACAGUUUUCUGUUGAUUGCUAGUGAUAAUAUAGUCUGUGUGUUGUGACCUCGAAAAGUGCCUAGAAAACGAUUUUCAUUUAGCAUGUUUUGGAUCUGAAACAUUUUUACAGGAACUAACACUUUUGAACACGCUGAGUUAAAAUGCGAAAAGUUAUUGUAGAUCCACAGUUUUCUCACAAACUGCUAUUUUGUCUUCACUAAUUUCACAGCAAAUCUUUUCAUUGUUCAAUGACACGGAUCGAUACACGAAGGUCGAAGGGACCAAUAUCAAAGGCAAUCUCGAAACCAGAGCCCGCAAUCUUCUGUGGAGGCUUGCUGAGGCUCUGGGACACACCGGCGAAAGUCGGGCUCUGAUUGGUUGUUUUUCAACAUCUCGUCCCCAGGCCCAAGCGGCCCUCAAAGUUUUUCAAGUGCUAAUUAUUCAAACUUUGAGCCGUAUUUAGUUAUUCGGAUUUCAAACAUCGUUUAAAAUUAAUAUAAAUUAAAGUUUAUUUCUCUUUGUGUAUUAUGUUUAAACAUAUCAAUGAAACACACAGCAUAACAUUAAUAAACUUAUUAAGCUUUCCUAGCUUCUCAUAUGAAAUCAAAAGACUAUUCUAUUUCUGAUAUUGAUAUGCUAUAAAUAACAAAAUUAGAAUAACAACAGUGCAGCAUUAUAAUAUUUAAAAUAACACAACAAUCUAUAAUAUUUAAAAUAACACAACAAUCCAUGAUUUACCGUAAUUAAACAAUUUAAAAUAAAUCACUACCAGUAUCUUACAACAAUUCAAAACCAUGGCAAGUGUUCUUUGAAGAAUUAAAGUCGUAAUAAGCUUAAACAACGGCAUAAUUCAUGUUUGACGGCAGUAAUGUCUACUUAUAAAUGUCGAGCGGAUUAGUGGAUCCAAAUGUACUGAUUUUCGUGCAAAAGUCGCCGGUGUUUCCCAGAGCCUCAGUAAGCCUCCACAGAGGAUUGCGGGCUCUGGUUUCGAGAUUGUAUCAAAGGGACCAAUUUCUGUUAACCAGUCUUCCUUUUAACAAAAGACCGGUUUUGCUCGAAUCAUUUUGAGUUACACUGUAUGUAAUCUUAUGCGUGUUGGACGUAAACAACAUAUCUUGUCUACAACUUUGAGAAGGUACAGAUAACUCUUUCUAAAAUCCUCAGUUCUGGCUCUAUCUCUAUAAAAUCACAAGGACAUUAAUGUUAAGUCUUUGGGCUAUGUUUCUCUGGGCUGAGAAAUAAUUCUUUACAUGCAAUCAAAAUGUUUUAUACAAAGAUCUAAAACGUUAAUCUUAUGUAAUGGAUUGGCAUUUAAAUUUCCAACACAGUUUCUGAGACGUAAUUCAAGAGGUCAGUAACUUAUCAUUGCAUUUGAACUAUUAUACAUCAGUUGGUGUUAUGCAGUGCAAUAAACGACUAUUAUUGGAAAGAGGGCUCACCAAAUAAACAGCUCAUGCACACAUUUGUCCACUUCGUUGUUUACAGAGCA